CGAUUAUAAAAUUGAACACUAGAACAGCACCCAUAGCACAAUUUGAUACCUAACGAUGGCAACAUCUGGAGAUUUCCCGGAGGCCUAUUCCGAGCCCUUCACUCUUGCUCUGACGCCAAUACGCGAGGUUGCCACCGUGCCUCCUUAGUAGUUCCUUAUAAGUGUUGUGAUAUCUAUACACUGGGCCUUAUUUUACGUACAUGUUGACAUCAAACUAAUAAACUGAAACUCGGA